rnacentral:rRNA from 1 species
UACAGAGGGUGCAAGCGUUGUUCGGAAUUAUUGGGCGUAAAGCGCGUGUAGGCGGCUUGGCAAGUCGGGUGUGAAAUCCCCCAGCUUAACUGGGGAAGUGCGCUCGAAACUGCUGAGCUCGAGUACCGGAGAGGAUGGCGGAAUUCCCCAAGUAGAGGUGAAAUUCGUAGAUAUGGGGAGGAACACCGGUGGCGAAGGCGGCCAUCUGGACGGUAACUGACGCUGAGACGCGAAAGCGUGGGUAGCAAACAGG